rnacentral:rRNA from 1 species
GACGAACGCUGGCGGCGUGCUUAACACAUGCAAGUCGAACGGAAGUUAAGUUUUCGGAUUUAACUUUAGUGGCGAACGGGUGAGUAACGCGUGAGGAACCUGCCUUUCAGUGGGGGGACAACAGUUGGAAACGACUGCUAAUACCGCAUGAAAUUAUCUUGGGGCAUCCUGAGAUAAUCAAAGAUUUAUUGCUGAAAGAUGGCCUCGCGUCUGAUUAGCUAGUUGGAGGGGUAACGGCCCACCAAGGCGACGAUCAGUAGCCGGACUGAGAGGUUGACCGGCCACAUUGGGACUGAGAUACGGCCCAG